UACGGGAGGCAGCAGUGGGGAAUUUUGGACAAUGGGCGAAAGCCUGAUCCAGCAAUGCCGCGUGUGUGAAGAAGGCCUUCGGGUUGUAAAGCACUUUCUGUCCGGAAAGAAAACCUCCGAGUUAAUACCUUGGGGGGAUGACGGUACCGGAAGAAUAAGCACCGGCUAACUACGUGCCAGCAGCCGCGGUAAUACGUAGGGUGCAAGCGUUAAUCGGAAUUACUGGGCGUAAAGCGUGCGCAGGCGGUCCGCUAAGACAGAUGUGAAAUCCCCGGGCUUAACCUGGGAACUGCAUUUGUGACUGGCGGGCUAGAGUAUGGCAGAGGGGGGUAGAAUUCCACGUGUAGCAGUGAAAUGCGUAGAGAUGUGGAGGAAUACCGAUGGCGAAGGCAGCCCCCUGGGCCAAUACUGACGCUCAUGCACGAAAGCGUGGGGAGCAAACAGGAUUAGAUACCCUGGUAGUCCACGCCCUAAACGAUGUCAACUAGUUGUCGGGUCUUCAUUGACUUGGUAACGUAGCUAACGCGUGAAGUUGACCGCCUGGGGAGUACGGUCGCAAGAUUAAAACUCAAAGGAAUUGACGGGGACCCGCACAAGCGGUGGAUGAUGUGGAUUAAUUCGAUGCAACGCGAAAAACCUUACCUACCCUUGACAUGUAUGGAACCUGGCUGAGAGGUCAGGGUGCCCGAAAGGGAGCCAUAA
rnacentral:rRNA from 1 species